rnacentral:tRNA from 1 species
GCGCCAUUAGCUCAGUUGGUUAGAGCAGCUGACUCUUAAUCAGCGGGUCCGGGGUUCGAGUCCCUGAUGGCGCAC